UUUUAAUUCAAAUCUAAAGUUUGGUCGUUGAAAAGAUAUUUUUCAGAAUGUCCCAAGCUUUGCACAUCCUAAGCUCAUGUGCUAUUUUAAAUCUUAAGCUCAUGUGCUACUCUAAAUCUAAAGUUACAAGCCUCGUUAGGAGUCCACCUCGGUUCCUUCAUGAUAUUUAUCCGGUGCAAAAAGAAACCUACGUACUUUGCAACAUAUACGCCACAAUCGUCUAAAUUAUAUUGUGUCGGCCUAUUCACACAGACUUCAACUUUCGGCUUCGAUAUUGGCACUUUGUUGUAGGAUUUGCUUGACGAAGCAACAAAGGAAUUAACUCCACCUGUAAACCACAAAGCCAUCAUUUAAUUCCCAAUAUACAAUAUAUGUAUGUGUAAUGACAUGAAAACAAAUAAUAUACCCAAGACAUGUGCCCAUAACCAACCAUUGGAUCUCAGACAGUUCACAUCCUUAAACUCUAAGUUGUAUAGACCGCCUAGAUGGAUACGAGGAAAGUUUGAUGGGUCGUGAGUUGGACUAAAUCAAUGGUGAUUUAACCAAGUGAUUUUCUCAAUCUUUAAGUAAUUAACAAAGUGAGUGUGCUUUGUUAC
rnacentral:lncRNA from 1 species